UACGUAGGGGGCAAGCGUUGUCCGGAUUUAUUGGGCGUAAAGAGCGUGUAGGCGGCUAUACAGGUCCGCUGUGAAAACUCGAGGCUCAACCUCGAGACGUCGGUGGAAACCGUAUGGCUAGAGUCCGGAAGAGGAGAGUGGAAUUCCUGGUGUAGCGGUGAAAUGCGCAGAUAUCGAGAGGAACACCGUGCGGCGAAGGCGGGUGCUGGGCUGACACUGACGCUGAUGCGCGAAAGCCAGGGAGCGAAGCGGG
rnacentral:rRNA from 1 species